rnacentral:tRNA from 1 species
GCCCUCGUGAUGGAAUUGGAAGACAUACUGGAUUCAGAAUCCAGGUUCUGGGGGUUCGAGGCCCCCCGAGGGUACCA